rnacentral:rRNA from 1 species
AUUGAACGCUGGCGGCAUGCCUUACACAUGCAAGUCGAACGGUAACAGGUCUUCGGAUGCUGACGAGUGGCGAACGGGUGAGUAAUACAUCGGAACGUGCCCAAUCGUGGGGGAUAACGCAGCGAAAGCUGUGCUAAUACCGCAUAAGAUCUACGGAUGAAAGCGGGGGAUCGCAAGACCUCGCGCGAGUGGAGCGGCCGAUGGCAGAUUAGGUAGUUGGUGAGGUAAAGGCUCACCAAGCCUGCGAUCUGUAGCUGGUCUGAGAGGACGACCAGCCACACUGGAACUGAGACACGGUCCAGACUCCUACGGGAGGCAGCAGUGGGGAAUUUUGGACAAUGGGCGCAAGCCUGAUCCAGCAAUGCCGCGUGCAGGAUGAAGGCCUUCGGUUGUAAC